rnacentral:rRNA from 1 species
AUACGUAUGUCGCAAGCGUUAUCCGGAUUUAUUGGGCGUAAAGCGCGUCUAGGCGGCUUAGUAAGUCUGAUGUGAAAAUGCGGGGCUCAACCCCGUAUUGCGUUGGAAACUGCUAAACUAGAGUACUGGAGAGGUAGGCGGAACUACAAGUGUAGAGGUUAAAUUCGUAGAUAUUUGUAGGAAUGCCGAUGGGGAAGCCAGCCUACUGGACAGAUGCUGACGCUAAAGCGCGAAAGCGUGGGUAGCAAACAGGAUUAGAUGCCCUGGUAGUCCACGCCGUAAACGAUGAUUACUAGGUGUUGGGGGUCGAACCUCAGCGCCCAAGCUAACGCGAUAAGUAAUCCGCCUGGGGAGUACGUACGCAAGUAUGAAACUCAAAGGAAUUGGCGGGG